AAUAGACUGUGCAUUUCGUGAACUGGAAAAAUUCGAUGUUGUCCAAACUCGGGAUGAGACGACAACCUGGGUAUGUUUCAUCGGCUUUCUGUCAGAGGCCAGAGGACAACUUGCCAGCUUGCCCUGAGAUCCACCGUCUGCCUCUCAGUGCUGGGAUUACAGACAGCCACCAUGACUGCCCAGCUUUAACAUGGUUGCCAGGGCUUCUAAUUCCAGUCACCAUGCC